GCCGCGGUAUUACGUAGGGGGCAAGCGUUGUCCGGAAUGACUGGGCGUAAAGCGCGGGCAGGCGGACGUUUAAUUCUGAGGUGAAAGCUUGAAGCUCAACUCCGAAAGGGCCUUGGAAACUGGAUGUCUUGAAAAAUGGAAAGAAUAGCGAAAUUCCCGGGGUAGCGGUGAAAUGCGUAAAUAUCGGGAGGAACACCCGGGGCGAAGGCGGUUAUCUGGACAUUAUCUGACGCUGAGGCGCGAAAGCGGGGGAAGCAAACAGGAUUAAAUACCCGGGUAGUCCACGCCGAAAACAAUGAGGGCUAGGGGUUGGGGGUAUCGACCCCCCCGGGGCCGCAGUUCACGCAAUAACCACUCCGCCGGGGGAGUACGGCCGCAAGGUUGAAACUCAAAGGAAUUGACGGGGGCCCGCACAAGCGUUGGACCAGGGGGUUUAAUUCGACGCACCGCGAAAAACCUUACCAAGGCUUGCCUUCCUCCGAACCUU
rnacentral:rRNA from 1 species